ACAAACCAAGGGGCGUCAGGCACUCCUUGCCCUCUAGACCCUUCAGCAUCUUUGCAGCCCUCCUUUGGAUACUCUCUAACAGUUAUGCAUCCUUCUUACAUUGUGAUGUUCAAAAUUGCACACAGUACUUGAGGUGAGACCUCAAGUACUCACCGGUACAACAGCUCAUUAACAGAAAUGGGUGGGAGAAGGGACAACAGCUUACAUCUUCACCUGGGCUAAAAGGGAUUUUCUGCUAUGUAAUUGAUGUUAACACAACAAAUGUAGUAAGCUGAUCCUCCAGCAAAUGGACAAAGUUGCUGGUUGCUUGUGUUCCUGCAGCAUCUAGCAUGGUGAAGCCUUCCUGCAGCUGAAUUUAAGGAGUUACUCUGAUUUAGGAUAGAAAACCAUUGCUGGUUAGAGUCAGGGCAGACAUUUAUGUAUUGUUAUAUGUAAAUGGAAGCAGCUGUGAGUGUUUUGUUUGUUGUUUUUUUUUUUCUUGCAUCUGGAGAAAGGGAGGUGAAAUCAAGCUAAAGGAUAGGAAGGAGCUUACAGUGACAGCUGAGUAGUGAUUGCAUUGCCAAAAGGUAUAAAGGUGGGCAAGUCUCCCUCUCAGAAGGGAUGUCAUAGUAUUCAGUGGUGGCUUGAUAAGAUUGCUCACCCUAUAGGACAGUUCAGAGGAUCAGGGAGCUGCAAGUAAUGAGAGAUACGGAAUCCUUGCCUGUGUGGUGACCGUAUUUAAGGUUUUGUUGGAGCUUGUUUGCUGUGUCUGUUUGAACACCUGGAAUCUUCACACCACAGGAGGCAGACACGGAGCCCAGCCUCUGAUCUCCCUCUGAUCCCCAAAGCCUCCUGCCUCACCUCCCCAAGCUCCUCAACACGGAGGAGUAGCAGAGUCUGUUCCCUGGUGGCAGUCCUAAGCCCUGAGGAGACAAGAAGCUCAAGGUUUCAGUGUUUAAGCAGCCAGAAGAUUUGAGCAUCUGGAAGCUAAGCCAGGAUCCGAGAUGCAAGGAUGCACUGAAAGAGAGCUGCUGCCUCUGCUGCUUCCCACAGAAACUUCCAGGCAUGGAGAAUCCUGUUUCCUUCUGCAGCAGGAAGCAUGUUGUACAUCUGUGUUUAUGUACAUGGGCUUGUUUUUUUGACUAGCUGACAUCACCUAAAAGCUGCAUUGCAACCCAGAAUUAUGGAACAUUUUUGGAGCAACUCCUGACCAGUGGGCAGUAUGAGAUCACAAACCAAAUCUGAUUUUUGUGGCUGAGAUCACUGUGUAAAAGUGAAACUUUUAAAAAGCUGUUUGAAAUAAAGCACAGCUGAAUUCUGUGCAAACUCAAGCUUGUUGAACUACAUUUCCCAAGGCACUUGUAGGUGACAAAAAUGUGGAAGAUGUCAGAGGACGCAAAAAGAAGAAAUUUUUUACAGGUGCAUAAGAUGUACAGAGCUUUCUGUGACUCAAGUCAAGGCAAGUAGGAGAGAAGGAAUAUGCUGCAGUGGAUAAAACUCCAUUUCUUCUUUUAUAUAUAUAGUGAUCAAAAUAAUUGAAAAACAGUAAAAACUGACUCUCCAGACCCUUUUUCCUUCUCUUGAGUAGGGGCAUGACAUUUCCUUUUUUCCACUCACCAGGGAUAUCACCCGAAUGCCUUGUUUAGAUUCAUCAGGUGGUGUCAAACCUGCUCUUCACUUACAGCAGGUGGGACUUUGAUCCCACAGCUUCCAUCUGCAGAUUCAGGGAAAUUAAAGACUUGGGAAGCCCGCCUACCAGUGCAGACAAAGGCAAAGAAGUUGUUGAGUACCUCAGCCUUCUCCAUGUCUGUCAUUAUCAAUUACUCAGCUAUAGAAACUCACUCCUAAUAUAAGAAAUUAGCCACCUAUACUCGCUUAUGCACUACUAUUUUCACCCCUCAGUCUAUUUUCACAAGUGUUAAAGGUGCACGGUGGCCCUCAGGGACUCCUGUCACCCCAGUGCAGCAGCCCGAAGGGAGCUGGGUGCUCUUCUCGAGGCUCUGUGCAGAAGGGAUGCCACCUCUCGCAUAAGGGCUGGAGCAUGGGAAAGAAGCACUCCCACAACCCCUGAGAAUCAGCAACAGAGUUCUUUAUUGCCAGGGUCCCGCACUGUGUUCUGGACGAUGAGCAUGCCUCUGCUCCGCCUGGCUGUCUGCCUGAUGCUCCUGCCUUCAUCCCACAUCACGGUUGCUCUUAUGGCAAGGCCAGCCUGUUCCCCGCAUCACUGUGGUGCCAGUGCUACCACCUGUAUGUGUCUGUGGGCUGGGCACUAGCGGUCCCUCAGGCACUGGUGUCUCUUGUGCCACCGGUGCCAUCCCUCCACCCACGACAUCUCUCCUUCUGGUCAGGUGCAUUCCCUCCUGGUGCUUCACCGAACUGCAUGGCUGUCCUCACACACCAAGAGGCCUGAUGCUCGCCUUGCUCUUCUGGUCCCCUUCCUGCCUCACAAGCUGGCAGUCAGAGGGCCGAGAUGCUCAGUGAAUGGUGGGACAGUGGCAGGGGGCCUGUUUUAUAGGACCUGGACCAAAGGUGGGGCAGUGGUGGCCGCUGUGACCUCAGCAAGCCUCUGCAAUGGAGUGGCCCACAUGUGGCCAAAGGCAGCUCUGUUGGGAGCAGCCUGGAAGAUGCUCUCACAUGGACAAGGAGGAAGGUUGGGGGGCUGAGGGCCCCUUUUCUGGGGCUGGCUCCCCCGGGCCGUUUGGCUUGCCAGAGAGAAAGGCUGCCCCUCGGCCACAGGGACUGCCCUCUGCCUCCCAUCCUGUACCCUGGGUUUAUGUUUAACACUGUUUUUUCUAGUCCAAACACCUCA